UACAAAGUCUCGUCAUAUUCCUUCCCAAACCCUAACAAACCAUCCUCCCUUUAAAGAUGCAUCUAUAUCUCUAGACAAUCAUCUACUGGUACUGUUCUAUUGUCCAGAUCUUCUCAAAGGAACGUCUUGUUUCCUCGCAUGAGAGAGAGAGAGAGAGAGAGAGAGAGAGAGAGAGAGAGCUUCCGAUAUUUCAUCCUCAUGUUUUGGCUAUGUUAUUUAUGCUCGCACAUAAUUGUGACAUGUGGGUAUUAAUUUUCAGUAUUGUGUUCUCAGAUCUGACUAAAGAAUCAGUCAUUUUUUUUCAUAUCUCGUUAUAUACCAUAUUCAUAAGGUACUUGCGUGGUGGUGAACCGGCUGACAGAAGAGAGUGAGCACACAAAGGCAAAUUGUAUAAAAAUGAGCUGUAUGAUUUUUUUGUGUGCUCAUGAUCUAUCUGUCAGCUUCUUAUCCCUCCCAUAUCCUCUUCCAUAUCACUCUUUUGGAACUAUUUUGUUUGUGUCUGAUCUAUAUACGUUGUUUCUUUUAUUUAGAAAUUUAAAGGAUCGACUAGUAUAUAUGAUAAUUUAUGUCUCGCUGUAUUUCUGUAUAAUUAGGGGUGGAGUCCUUAGCGAAAACUCCUGAGAAUAUAGGAGUUUAUGACACCUAGCUAUUAUUACUGUGAAGAAAUUCAAACAGGAAUACAAGUACUUUACCUACAUAUUAUAAUGUAUUACAUUAUUACUUAAUUAAUGAGGAUCAUGAAUGAUUUUAACGCGUGACCUUUCAUUGUUUACUGUGCUAAAUCCAUGGAAAACGGAAAUUGUUUUAGGACCAUUAGUCGUUAUGUAGAAUGGUCCUAGCUCGCCUCUUUCUUUAUUUCCUUUUCAAUAUUAAUUUGUCUUUGGGCGUGGGAUAUGCAAGAAAUUGCGAUCUUGACUAGAUUUUGGUUUUUUCAUUUGGAUCCCUGUGAUUAGGUUAUUAUCUCACAAAGAUUCUGCUUAAUUUGUUGUUAAGUUUAAUUUGAAUACAUGAGUUAAUUGGAUUUGGAUCUAAUGGCAUAUGUGGAAGGACUACAGGAUGAACCUCACCUUAAAAGUUGGCUGUGUUUUUUCACCAUAUACAAACCCUAUAUCGCUAAUUACCAGUCGUUGAUGUACCCAUACGUACCCUCGUCGGCCAUGGAGUUUUCAAAAACUGAAGAUAGCACCGUAGGUUCUGAUCUCUGACGCUCAAUCUCUCUUCACUACCGGUCAUAUAUAACGCUAAUGUCAUCAUCACCCUCUCCUUAAAUUCAUCGAUCUUUUUUUACUUUAUUUGACCUGUAUCGAUUUUUGUUGGUUUCAGAACCCUAACCAAACCAUAUCUAUCAAAGUUCUUGGGAACGGAAACUUAUUUAUGUCUCAAUAUAAGAUUUCUUAUUUUUUUACUUUGAACUCCCCAAAACCCUAACCCGAACCAAAGAUGCAAUCUUUAUGUUUUUUUCCUUAUAUAUCCUCAUUCCGGAUAGGCUUGCACCAAGCUGGUAGUGACCCCAUCAAUCGGCUCUUGAGUGUGAUCAGUUUUCCCAAAUAGCAUUGAAGAAAAGUGAUUUGGAUCUUGACCCCAUGGGUUUUGAUGACGUCAGUCGAUACUGAUGGAAUGUAUCCGAUGAUCGAUGCUGACAAAGUUGAUACUGGCCGAAACAAUAAUGCUUAGAUUGUUGUUUGGAGUUGGAGUAAGGCAAAUACGCAUGCAGGGAUUAUUUAGUUCUCUGAUUCUUGUUUGGAUUUAAAUGAAAGCAAUUAUAUAGACUGAGUUUUUA